CUUUGCGGCUGCCCUUCCGCGCGCACAUGUAGGCGUUCCGAGCGGCGGCAGAGGAAAGGGAACAUCACAGAAAGGUGAAGAAAUUUGCCCUAAAUCAUAAAACUUUGUAAGUGGCAGAACAAGGAUUUGAAGCUGGCACUCUGGUUCCAGAAUCGUGCUCUGCCCUGCCCCGCACCCCAGGAGGUUGGUCCCAUGCUCCGCAUCACCCCAACUCCCUUCCCCUCUGGCUCCAAGCUGGAUUCAGCCAACAGGAGACACCAGCAGAAGACGGAAGGCUGGGAGGAGAGGCGGGGAUCUGUCUCCUCAACUCUCUGCCUGUCUCAGGGCCUCCAAGACUGCAGCUUCCACUGGACAGCCUCCCCUUGGACUCUGUGACCACCAUUUUUCGCCCUUACCCCUUUGAUCCUAAGGGUGGUAACAGCUUCCUGCUAUUGCCAACUGCUGGGUGCCUCAACAUCCUUUGUUGGUUUCCUUAAACUUGUCCACAUCUCUGUAAAUCAUCCUUUACUAAAUAGCCCUUCAUCUGAAGCAUCAGUACGAAUGCCAUUCCUGCCAGGACUCUGACCAAUGCACAUGCAAUGCAGUGGAAUGCAGCUGAAAGGAGUGUUGACACCAGAUUCAAAUUUAGAAAGCAUUUGGAAGCAUGGUCUAAUAAUGUCUCCAUGGAAGAGGAAGAACAUGCUGACAAAGGAAGUGAAGAAGAUUUAUUGUGCCAACUGAACGGAUCACCCUUAGAGUAUCUGAUCCUCCUGCCUUUAUGAAGUCUCACACUUCCUGAUGAAACUGUGCACUAAAUUGCCACAGAAAUGGAAAGACAGGGGAAAAAAAGGAAAGAAAAAGGACUCCAGGGUAAUGAAACCCCUACACAUACUCACCAAUAGAUCAGUCUAUGUGGCAAAAAAGUAAUUUGAUUAUGCAAUAUGUAACACAAUACAUUUCAGCAAUUUUCAAAUGCAUUUGAACUGCUCUUGAGAGUGCCUUUAUUUCAAAAUUAUUAACUAUACAAAAAUCAAGUGUUUGAGAAGAAAACAUCCUAGUAGAAGUCUCAGACAAAAACUGAAAGAUAAAAGACUGGAAGAAGUUACAAAAUGUCAAAAACUCUUUUGUUCUAUCACAACAGAAGCUAAAAAGCCUGAUAGACAAAAGCAUGAAAUUGAGAAGAAUCAUAAUAGCUAAGAAAAUAUAAAUAAUGAAGAUGAGAAGAGAGAAUAAUUAUAAAAAUCAGAUCAUGCCAAAAUAGUACUUGAUUAAGAGGAAGAGAUAAAUUUGGAGCAUAACUGUUUGAAUAACCCAAUUUAAUGAAGGGGAGUGAAUCAUAUGAAUAUGUUGAAAAAAGGAUUUGCAAUCUUGGUGAUUUGAUCACAAAAUACAGACAUCGACAACAAUAACAUGAACCCUACUACUAGGAUUAGUUACUACUAGGGUUAGUGGCCACUAACAUGUAGCCACUACUACAAGGACAUCCACCAAAAAGAAUAGGAAAAAAAUAUAGCCCAAAAAUAUAGAAAAAAGCAUACUAUAGUGAUAUAUCCAAGUUAACCAAUACAAAUAUUGUUAUGCUUCUAGAUUUUGCGAUGUAUGCAGUAUUUGUUAGCUUUUUAGGAUGUGCGAUUUGUUGUGAUUUCUCCUCAAUUAAUAUUCACAUUGAUGCCUAAUUUUGUCUUCAUAAUUUGAUAUUCUUUUUCUUAGAAUGAACCCCAGUUCCUAUAAGCCUCAGGUUCCUAGAAACCUACAUCUGCCCUGCUGUUAACAUUGAGUGCCUGCAAAUGUUCUUAGAGAAGAUUCUAAGUCUAGCUCAGCUGAUCUCCAUCAUCAUACCUGGCAUGUUUUAUAACAAGAAGCGUUACCACAGCUAAAGUACCCUUGGGAAGGAUUAUGCAAUGCCAGAAAGAUUCUCUCUUCAUAAGUCCCAUAGGUGAAAGAGGGGUCAAUUCACUGAAGCUGUCAACAUUCAACAUUCAGACAGGGCCAGGCACAGUGGCUCACACCUAUA